AUUGAACGCUGGCGGCAGGCCUAACACAUGCAAGUCGAGCGAGCGGCGGACGGGUGAGUAAUGUAUGGGGAUCUGCCUGAUGGCGGGGGAUAACUACUGGAAACGGUAGCUAAUACCGCAUACCAUCAGAUGUGCCCAUAUGGGAUUAGCUAGUAGGUGAGGUAACGGCUUACCUAGGCGACGAUCCCUAGCUGGUCUGAGAGGAUGACCAGCCACACUGGAACUGAGACAAGGCCCAGAAUACUACGGGAGGCAGCAGUGGGGAAGAUUGCACAAUGGGCGCAAGCCUGAUGCAGCCAUGCCGCGUGUAUGAAGAAGGCCUUCGGGUUGUAAAGUACUUUCAGCGGGGAGGCGUUACCGGCAGAAGAAGCACCGGCUAACUCCGUGCCAGCAGCCGCGGUAAUUC
rnacentral:rRNA from 1 species